AUGGCAUCCAACUAUUGUAAAAAGUUCUCAUCUUUUUAUGGCUAAUAAGAAUGUCUCUAGGUCAUAUCUUUUUUCGUCAUAUAUGUCAAAUACACCAUAUAAUCUAGAAGUAUAGUAGAUUUUCUUAUUCUAAUAGAUCUUUAGAGAGCUAUCCCUUCAUCUGCUUAUGGUAGUGGUUGGACAGUUACUUCUUCGGCAAUAGAAACCUCAUAGAGUAAAACUUGAUGAAGUGGUGGUUCUUUUUGAAUGUUAUCUCGAGGAACAAUAAUAGGAAUCAUAGCUUUAAUCUACUUUACAGGCUC
rnacentral:lncRNA from 1 species